ACGUAGGGAGCAAGCGUUAUCCGGAUUUAUUGGGUGUAAAGGGUGCGUAGGCGGGAAGGCAAGUUGAAUGUGAAAUACCGGGGCUCAACUCCGGGGCUGCGUUCAAAACUGUUUUUCUUGAGUACAGCAGAGGCAAGCGGAAUUCCCAGUGUAGCGGGAGUGUGGGUAGAUAUUGGGCGGAAAACCGGUGGAGAGGGGGGCGUAAAAGGCUUCAAAUGACCCUGAAGCACGGAAGUGUGGGGAGGAAAGAG
rnacentral:rRNA from 1 species